UCCAUCAGGUUCCACGACCCUCUGCUCGCUGAGCCCGGCGGCUCUCCCGCGGCUCCUCCCGCGUGGCAUAUCUGGGCGCCCGACACCCGGUCAGGGCCAGCUGGGCCUGUCCCCCAACCCCGUCUACACCGCAGGCCCCGGGCUAGGAGCCGCGGGACCCAGGGUUGGGGUCCCAACAGACACCCGCCCGUGCCGCGGAGCGGGCUUCUCGGUAAACAUCGCUCAGAGAACAACGCGCCUCUAUCCCAGCCGGUCCCCGCCCGCGGGCCGCCGGCGCUGUCACCUCGCGGCUGCCCGGUCACCCGAUCGCCAAGCCAGAAACCGGAGUUUUCAAUUUCAUCCUCACAGGAGGGAUCUCCGAAGAAGUUGAAAUAUGCAUUGUCACCAACAAGUUUAACUGGAGACCGCACGUCCUUCCCUCCUCCCCAGCGCCGCGACCCUCCACGCCCUCCCGUAACCCCACGGCCCCCACGAGCAGAGCGCGCCCCCCGAUUCGCGCCCGAGGACGCGUCCGGUUGCCCAGGGAGGCCACCCUGCAGGGCCGCCCGCCGGGAAGUGGCCAGAGCCGGGGUGGGGGUCGGCCCGAGCGCAUGCGGGGGGCUCCGAGAGCUGCUCGACCCCGGAACCCCGAGCCGGGUCCCUGCCCGCCAGCAGCGGGCGACCCGAGCGCCCGGGGGAGCGGCGAGGGGCGCGCGAGGCUUCCCGAAGCCGCCCCGCGCCCAGGCACCCGCGCAGCCCCGAACUCAGGCGGCGGUGGCACGAUCGGCGCCCGCGAGGGAGUGCAAAGCCCGAGGACGACCCCGCGCCCCCGCCGGCCUCCAGGGCCCUGCCGCCCGAGGCGCUCCCCGCAGCCGCCUGCCUACCUGGCUCGCAUGGCGUCCCCGCGGGCUCCUGCGGCUCCGCUGGUCGGCCGGCGGCUCGGCCCAGCUGGGGCGCGCGGCUCCGCGGGACUCACGGCGGCGGCGGCGGCGGUGGUGGCGAGGGGCCCGGACCGCCGAGAGUGCCGGGCGCGCUGGGCCCCCGCCUCGCCGGGCGGAGGGUGGUCCCGCGCCGGGGCGGGGGCGGGGCGGGGCGGGGCGGGGCGGGGCGGGGCGGGGCGGGGUCGCGGGGGGCGGGGCCGGGACCAGAGCGGAGGCCGCGGAGGGUGGUCUCGCGCCGGGGCGGGGCUUCGGGAGAGGGCGGGGCGGGGCGCGGCCGCCUGAGGUUGGAGAGCGUGGGGCGGGCUGGGGUGGUGCCGCGGCUCCGGGUCCCGGCGGAGAUGCAGUCUGGGCGCCUUCUCUUGUUACUCCGCCCGGAGCCGGCCAGGGUAGCGGGGUCCUGGCCACCCGGCAUCCCCAGGUCUGGGUCCCCGGUACCGAGCAGGUCUGGGUGCUGGCUCGCGCUCCUGUGCUCCCCCGCACCCCCAUCUCCCACCCCUUCUCCGGGAACCCCUAG
rnacentral:lncRNA from 1 species